rnacentral:rRNA from 1 species
AUUGAACGCUGGCGGCAGGCCUAACACAUGCAAGUCGAACGGUAACAGGAAGAAGCUUGCUUCUUUGCUGACGAGUGGCGGACGGGUGAGUAAUGUCUGGGAAACUGCCUGAUGGAGGGGGAUAACUACUGGAAACGGUAGCUAAUACCGCAUAACGUCGCAAGACCAAAGAUGGGGACCUUCGGGCCUCUUGCCAUCGGCUGUGCCCAGAUGGGAUUAGCUAGUAGGUGGGGUAACGGCUCACCUAGGCGACGAUCCCUAGCUGGUCUGAGAGGAUGACCAGCCACACUGGAACUGAGACACGGUCCAGACUCCUACGGGAGGCAGCAGUGGGGAAUAUUGCACAAUGGGCGCAAGCCUGAUGCAGCCAUGCCGCGUGUAUGAAGAAGGCCUUCGGGUUGUAAAGUACUUUCAGCGGGGAGGAAGGGAGUAAAGUUAAUACCUUCGCUCAUUGACGUUACCCGCAGAAGAAGCACCGGCUAACUCCGUG